rnacentral:rRNA from 1 species
GACGAACGCUGGCGGCGUGCUUAACACAUGCAAGUCGAACGGAAAGGCCCUGCUUGCAGGGUACUCGAGUGGCGAACGGGUGAGUAACACGUGGGUGAUCUGCCCUGCACUUCGGGAUAAGCCUGGGAAACUGGGUCUAAUACCGGAUAGGAGCCAUUUUUAGUGUGAUGGUUGGAAAGUUUUUUCGGUGUAGGAUGAGCUCGCGGCCUAUCAGCUUGUUGGUGGGGUAAUGGCCUACCAAGGCGGCGACGGGUAGCCGGCCUGAGAGGGUGGACGGCCACAUUGGGACUGAGAUACGGCCCAGACCCCUACGGGAGGCAGCGGUGGGGAAUAUUGCACAAUGGGCGCAAGCCUGAUGCAGCGACGCCGCGUGGGGGAUGACGGCCUUCGGGUUGUAAACUCCUUUCGCUAGGGACGAAGCUUUUUGUGACGGUACCUAGAUAAGAAGCACCGGCUAACUACGUG